UUCGCUGGCGGCGCGCCUAACACAUGCAAGUCGAACGAGAGAUGAAGAGCUUGCUCUUCAAAUCGAGUGGCGAACGGGUGAGUAACGCGUGAGGAACCUGCCUCAAAGAGGGGGACAACAGUUGGAAACGACUGCUAAUACCGCAUAAGCCCACGGCUCGGCAUCGAGCAGAGGGAAAAGGAGCAAUCCGCUUUGAGAUGGCCUCGCGUCCGAUUAGCUAGUUGGUGAGGUAACGGCCCACCAAGGCGACGAUCGGUAGCCGGACUGAGAGGUUGAACGGCCACAUUGGGACUGAGACACGGCCCAGACUCCUACGGGAGGCAGCAGUGGGGAAUAUUGCACAAUGGGGGAAACCCUGAUGCAGCGACGCCGCGUGGAGGAAGAAGGUCUUCGGAUUGUAAACUCCUGUUGUUGAGGAAGAUAAUGACGGUACUCAACAAGGAAGUGACGGCUAACUACGUGCCAGCAGCCGCGGUAAAACGUAGGUCACAAGCGUUGUCCGGAAUUACUGGGUGUAAAGGGAGCGCAGGCGGGAGAACAAGUUGGAAGUGAAAUCCAUGGGCUCAACCCAUGAACUGCUUUCAAAACUGUUCUUCUUGAGUAGUGCAGAGGUAGGCGGAAUUCCCGGUGUAGCGGUGGAAUGCGUAGAUAUCGGGAGGAACACCAGUGGCGAAGGCGGCCUACUGGGCACCAACUGACGCUGAGGCUCGAAAGUGUGGGUAGCAAACAGGAUUAGAUACCCUGGUAGUCCACACCGUAAACGAUGAUUACUAGGUGUUGGAGGAUUGACCCCUUCAGUGCCGCAGUUAACACAAUAAGUAAUCCACCUGGGGAGUACGACCGCAAGGUUGCAACUCAAAGGAAUUGACGG
rnacentral:rRNA from 1 species